UAUUCUCUUCUUCUCACUUCUCACGAUGGUCACCGGAAAACAUGGCUCCCUUCUACUUCGCGACGCUCACCAGAGAAGGCUGCUACCCAAUAUUGCAUCUAUUUCAACUUUCGUCGUUGUUGUAAAACCGCACGACGGUGUUUUAAUUCCUAACCUCGACGGCAGAAGCUCGGUGAUAUUGAUUAAUAGCUGACGGUGGCCGAACAGAUUUUACAACGAUGGAAUGAAUAUGAGACAGAGCUUAGGAUUCAGAUGAUUUUGGAUGAAUUCAUGUCUUUGAUGUAACAAGUGAAAGCAAGAGAAGUAGACAAAGCAAGUAUUACUAAAGUCAUACAAGAAACAUAGAGAAAGAAUUGACACAAGUUGUAUUAAAUUGUAAUAUUUACUACUGAAACAUAGAGGCUGGAUAUGUUGCACAUAAGUCAUACAAGAAAUACAGAGAAAGAAUUGACACAAGAAGUGUCUUGCUA